rnacentral:rRNA from 1 species
UACAGAGGUCCCAAGCGUUGUUCGGAUUCAUUGGGCGUAAAGGGUGCGUAGGCGGCGCGGUAAGUCGGGUGUGAAAUCUCGGAGCUUAACUCCGAAACUGCAUUCGAUACUGCCGUGCUUGAGGACUGGAGAGGAGACUGGAAUUUACGGUGUAGCGGUGAAAUGCGUAGAUAUCUGGAGGAACACCGGUGGCGAAGGCGGCGUUCGUGGACUGGCAACUGACACUGAGGAACGAAGCCAGGGAGCAAAGCGGGA